CUAAAGAAUGGACUUCAACAAUUUAUUUAUUUAUUUUUGUGUGUAAAUUGAUGCAAACCUAGGAUGACAAUGUUAUACAUGUAUACACGGAAAAACAUAAAAUAAAAAAUAUUUGGAAGAUUUAUGACGUUGAUGACCGUUGAAACGCACGUCAUCACGUCAGGCCAGCUGUGAGGGAGGAAAGUCGAAGCAGCUCGAGAAAGUUGGCGCUUUUAUCAGAUCGUUUGUUUGGAGUCUCUGUUUGUUCCAACCAUUGUGUUCCUUCAUGCUCCUCCAGAGACUACUAUCCGGAUUGUCCGUGCCAGUGUUGUGACUCUUGCAUCUUUCACUGUGUGAUGUUGUCCGGGGCCCGAGGGUGGCAAUUGCAUCAGAGGGAGAAGACUUCACAGUGCCUCCCUAUACAUGGAUGUCAGCUGACGUCAAUCACUUGUCUUCCGCCAUUUUGAGGACCUGAAGUGGUCGCAAAAGAACUAGAAGCUAUGCCUUCAAUAUGCUGUGAGCAUCAAAAUCGCUAUUUUAACAACACUAAGAAGGCUCAACACAACAUGAUA